UACGAAGGGGGCUAGCGUUGCUCGGAAUUACUGGGCGUAAAGCGCACGUAGGCGGCUUUGCAAGUCAGAGGUGAAAGCCCGGGGCUCAACCCCGGAAUUGCCUUUGAGACUGCAGAGCUAGCAGGUGAGAGAGGUGAGUGGAAUUCCGAGUGUAGAGGUGAAAUUCGUAGAUAUUCGGAAGAACACCAGUGGCGAAGGCGGCUCACUGGCUCAUACUGGACGCUGAGGUGCGAAAGCGUGGGGAGCAAACAGG
rnacentral:rRNA from 1 species